GGCAGAUUUCGGAUUGCAAGGGGAAUACAGCUGAGAGGCCAUACUGGCACCUAGGCACAGUGAGAUGCAGAAACUGACAGAUUCAAGUGCCAGCAGGAGCCAAAACAAGAAUCUUCCAUUUCCCAGUGUCCAGCUCCUGGAACAGCACACUGUACAGGGAUUCAUGCAGGUUGAGGGAGCUCUAGUGGGUGGGGAGUCAGAACUCCAGAGCUUCAUACCCAUGGAGCUCCAGCUGGUAGGCGGCCAUGUCGGCCACGGCUUGGGCAUCAGCAGCUGAACCAGAGAGUGCACAGUAGAUGCGCUGGUGCAAGGGGGACAGCUU